GACGAACGCUGGCGGCGUGCUUAACACAUGCAAGUCGAACGGAAAGGCCCUGCUUUUGUGGGGUGCUCGAGUGGCGAACGGGUGAGUAACACGUGAGUAACCUGCCCUUGACUUUGGGAUAACUUCAGGAAACUGGGGCUAAUACCGGAUAGGAGCUCCUGCUGCAUGGUGGGGGUUGGAAAUUUUCGGCGGUUGGGGAUGGACUCGCGGCUUAUCAGCUUGUUGGUGGGGUAGUGGCUUACCAAGGCUUUGACGGGUAGCCGGCCUGAGAGGGUGACCGGCCACAUUGGGACUGAGAUACGGCCCAGACUCCUACGGGAGGCAGCAGUGGGGAAUAUUGCACAAUGGGCGGAAGCCUGAUGCAGCAACGCCGCGUGCGGGAUGACGGCCAUCGGGUUGUAAACCGCUUUCGCCUGUGACGAAGCGUGAGUGACGGUAAUGGGUAAAGAAGCACCGGCUAACUACGUG
rnacentral:rRNA from 1 species